rnacentral:rRNA from 1 species
UACGUAGGGUGCAAGCGUUAUCCGGAAUUAUUGGGCGUAAAGAGCUCGUAGGCGGUUUGUCGCGUCUGCUGUGAAAACUGGGGGCUCAACCCCCCAGCCUGCAGUGGGUACGGGCAGACUAGAGUGCGGUAGGGGAGAUUGGAAUUCCUGGUGUAGCGGUGGAAUGCGCAGAUAUCAGGAGGAACACCGAUGGCGAAGGCAGAUCUCUGGGCCGUAACUGACGCUGAGGAGCGAAAGCAUGGGGAGCGAACAGG